GAUGAACGCUGGCGGCGUGCCUAAUACAUGCAAGUCGAGCGGACAGACGAGGAGCUUGCUUCUCUGACGUUAGCGUCGGACGGGUGAGUAACACGUGGAUAACCUACCUAUAUGACUGGGAUAACUUCGUGAAACCGGAGCUAAUACCCGCUUAUAUAUUGAACCGCAUGGUUCAAUAGUUAAAGACGGUUUUGCUGUCACUUAUAGAUGGAUCCGCGCCGCAUUAGCUAGUUGGUAAGGUAACGGCUUACCCAGGCCACGAUGCGUAGCCGACCUGAGAGGGUGAUCGGCCACACUGGAACUGAGACACGGUCCAGACUCCUACGGGAGGCAGCAGUAGGGAAUCUUCCGCAAUGGGCGAAAGCCUGACGGAGCAACGCCGCGUGAGUGAUGAAGGUCUUCGGAUCGUAAAACUCUGUUAUUAGGGAAGAACAAAUGUGUAAGUAACUAUGCACGUCUUGACGGUACCUAAUCAGAAAGCCACGGCUAACUACGUG
rnacentral:rRNA from 1 species